rnacentral:tRNA from 1 species
GGAGAGGUGACCGAGCUGGCCGAAGGUGUACGAUUGGAAAUCGUAUGUACCCUAACCCGGUACCGGGAGUUCGAAUCUCCCCCUCUCCGCCA